GCGGAUAAAUGUUGAUGUUUCAGUGCGUUAAAUCAUGCCCGACGCAUUCGUAAUGCGAAGGUCGUAGGUUCGACUCCUAUUAUCGGCA
rnacentral:tRNA from 1 species